CCGAGUCAGAAGAGAGCUAAAAUGGCGGAGGUUGUGAGUCCCUGCUUUGACUCUGUUUGCAAACUCUUGUUUCAUUGUUUAAGCGAUUAAAUCUCUCGAGUAGACGCUGUCUCUUUAGAUGCGAGGGCAAAAUAGCACUUUAUGGACUUCCACAGAGGACAUCAUGUUUAAUACGGUUCCGGAAAAAUCCAGUCAGAAGUUGUUCACGGAGUUUUCACAAUAACUGCUUCUCAUGAACCGAAGCUGGAUUUGCGCGACGUCUCCUCUUGAAAGUUGGAUUACUGUGCACUUCUGGAUCACAGGCUAUUCGCAGCUGGACACAUCCUUCUACACUGUAUGCAAACAUGCAACAUCAUUACACACAGUACAAGGAGUCAGACUGGCAUAUGAGGAGCAAAGGAACCCAGGCAGUAGCAUCGUUUCACAAUGUUUCCAUCACCAUCAUCAGUGGAUGCCUUUGCCGUCCGUAGCCUGAGAUUUCAGAUUUGCAGCAAAAAAAAUUUGAUUUUCUCAUUUAUUGGAAUGCUGUGCAGGUAUUUGUACCUUGCAGCCAUACAUUACAAUGUCACCAAGCCGUAACAAAAGCAGGAGAGGGAAAGUACAAGGCUAUGUUCCCAAAACACACAAGUGACAUACCUUAUGUGGAGGAUGUGAUCAGGCUUGUGUUUGAUGAGGUAUUUGAAGAUAAGCUGAAGGAAACCCCGAUUCCAAUGGACCUGGCAUCACAGUUUGAGAGACCUUCAAAGGAGGACGUGAUUGCAUGCCAUCUUCAGUGCAGGGGUCGUCGAAAGCCAAAAUUGUGACCGAUCUGAUCAGGAAGCUCCAAGCGUAUCUGGAGAACAACACACGACAGGAUGAUAACCUUAUAGUGUCGUCUUAAAUAGCACCAGCUGACAAAGCUUUGAUAUGCCAUUUAUCUGAAUAGAUAGCUGUAAGAAAUGAAUUGAACAAUUUUUGAA